GGCAACUCGCUGGGGUCCCUUUCUACGCUGUGGAAGCUUUGUUCUUUCACUCUUUGCAAUAAAUCUUGCUACUGCUCACUCUUUGGGUCCACGCUGCUUUUAUGAGCUGUAACACUCACCGCGAAGAUCUGCAGCUUCACUCCCGAGCCCAGCAAGACCACGAGCCCACCGGGAGGAACGAACAACUCCAGACGCGCUACCUUAAGAGCUGUAACACUCACCGCGAAGGUCUGCAGCUUCACUCCUGAGCCAGCGAGACCACGAACCCACCAGAAGGAAGAAACUCCGAACACAUCUGAACAUCAGAAGGGACAGACUCCAGACGUGCCACCUUAAGAGCUGUAACACUCACCGCGAGGGUCCGCGGCUUCAUUCUUGAAGUCAGUGAGCCCAAGAACCCACCAAUUCCGGACACGCUAGUAUCCGUAUCGUUACCAAAGCCAGGGACCUGGAAGUCAUUUUUGACUCCCAUUGCCUCUCCCCAGCUCAAUUCAUGACCAUUUCUAGCUAUUCCAUCUCCAACAUACAUUUCAAAGCCAUGCACUUCUUCCAUCUUCUCUGCCACCAUUCAUUCAACAGCCCCAGCUUCCUAAGUGACCCCUCAUUACCACUCCAGCCCCUCUUCAAUCUGUUCUCCACACAGCCCUUCCAAUGGGGCUUCUAACACUGCACAUGAAACUGUGCUUAACGCUCCUUAAAGGCUCACCAUGAGCGGCAGCUAAACCCUCCACUGGCCGUGGCCUCCGUGGCCUUUUCCUUGCCUUCUUCCAGCCCUGUGAAUGUGCCAAGCGCUUUCCUACCUAGGACUCCUCCACACUCCCCCACCCCCAAUCACGCGUGCCUGCACACACACACACUGCAUUCAGGAAGGCCUGAAGCAAGAGGAAGCAAAGUCCACUCAAGAAACUCGAGAAAGACCUUCACAGCUAUCUGCAGCAGAGAGAAAGAGGCAGAGCCCAGUACAAGAUGACACUGAGGAGAUCACUUGCUCUGGGGAGAAAAGCUAUGUUGUGAAAAGCCCUGUGCAUAGGCCCACAUGGUGUAGAACUGAGGCCUCCAGCCAACAGCCAUGUGAACGUGCCAUUUUGGAAACAGAUCCUCUGGUCCCAGUCGAGCUUCAGAUGACUGCAACCUCAGGAGAGACCAUGAGCCAGAAGCACCCAGCCAAGCUGUCCCCAGAUUUCAACUUCAGAAACUGUGUGAGAUCAUAAAUGUCUGUUGUUUUAAGCUGCUAAGUUUGGGGAAAUUUGUUAUGCAGCAACAGAAAACUCAUUCAAAAGGUAGGCAAACUUUACAGGCAGCCAGGCACGCAGGACCAAACUACUAUAUUUCCUUCAUCUCAUGCCGUAUAGCUUGGAACAAUGCUAUAUAUAAAAAAUGCCCACAAAGCACUGACAAAAGCAACAAUGAAAACAAUAUAUUGGUAAUUAUCAA
ensembl:lncRNA novel transcript, antisense to RALB